AUUCCAGCUCCAAUAGCGUAUAUUAAAGUUGUUGCAGUUAAAAAGCUCGUAGUUGGAUUUGUGGCGUAUGGUGUGUUCCGGGCACUUGUUGUCUGAGUAACCUGCUGUUGCCAUCCUUGGGUGGAACCUGUGUGGCAUUAGGUUGUCGUGCAGGGGAUGCCCAUCAUUUACUGUGAAAAAAUUAGAGUGUUCAAAGCAGGCUUAUGCCGUUGAAUAUAUUAGCAUGGAAUAAUGAGAUAGGACUUUUUUGCUAUUUUGUUGGUUUGCGCAAAGAGGUAAUGAUUAAUAGGGACAGUUGGGGGUAUUCGUAUUCCAUUGUCAGAGGUGAAAUUCUUGGAUUUCUGGAAGACGAACUACUGCGAAAGCAUUUACCAAGGAUGUUUUC
rnacentral:rRNA from 1 species